rnacentral:rRNA from 1 species
AUUAAACGCUGGCGGCAUGCCUUACACAUGCAAGUCGAACGGUAGCGCGGGGCAACCUGGCGACGAGUGGCGAACGGGUGAGUAAAGCAUCGGAACGUGCCCUGGAAUGGGGGAUAACGUAGCGAAAGUUACGCUAAUACCGCAUAUUCUGUGAGCAGGAAAGCAGGGGAUCGCAAGACCUUGCGUUCUGGGAGCGGCCGAUGUCGGAUUAGCUAGUUGGUGGGGUAAAAGCCUACCAAGGCGACGAUCCGUAGCGGGUCUGAGAGGAUGAUCCGCCACACUGGGACUGAGACACGGCCCAGACUCCUACGGGAGGCAGCAGUGGGGAAUUUUGGACAAUGGGCGGAAGCCUGAUCCAGCCAUGCCGCGUGAGUGAAGAAGGCCUUCGGUUGU